UUUGGUGUGGAGAUUACUGAUGAAGAGUUUGAGCUGCUACUUGACAGAAUCCCCCUUGAUGAAGAUGGAAAUGUCACAUACCCCCGGUUCAUGGCCAGGUUUGAUUCCUGAUAUUAACGAGAGAAGAAAAUUUGCACUGAGUGUAAGCAAAAGAUAGUUUAUGAGCCUGAAGGAAUAUAAUCAAUAAGGAUUAUGUGGAAACCUUUGUCCUUAAUCGUGGAUGGACUGUAUGGAGGUUUAGUGAAGAAUGGUAAAAUAUAUCUUCCUUUGUUAUUCAUAUAUUAUGCAUUUCAUACCAGCAGGAAUGGACAGAAGACAGAAGGCUGUUUUGAUAGACGAGCUGUCGAAGCAAGGCUUCAGUCGUCGCUGCGGGGCAGGAGCAGGGCUGGCAUUCUUUCGGGGGCAAAACAUGGCGAAAGGCGGCGCUGCCCGUUACGAAACACGGGAUGGCUGCGGCGGGCUGAGGAAAUCCUAGCCGGGAACGCUCGCUGAGCCUUCCAAGAGCCGUGCCGAGCCGUGCCGAGCCGUGCCGUGCCGCCACCGCGGCUGCAGAGGGCGCAGCGUCUCCGCCGGAGCCGCCCCGGGGAGCGCCCCCCCCCGCCCCCCGGAGCCUUCCCGUGCCACCAGAUUCUUUGCACACCUGGUCUCUCCCCCGCACGUUUUGGGGUAAGAAAGUGUUUUUCUGGUUUUGGCUAGUUGGAUUACUCAAAAGAUUUGCCAUGCGGUCAGAUAGGGCGGGUUGUGUUUGCUGUGCCGCGGCUGCGGGUGCUGAAAGGGUGGGUGAAGCCGUAGCCGGCUGAGCCAGCUCCGUCUCUAAGUAUGGUAGCGCUGCGCUUGGGCAGCAGCCCUCUCCCCUGCCAGAUUUUCUGGCGUUGACAUCACCCAGCGUUCAGAUUUCGGCUGGCUCGUGUCUGAGGCUAACCUUAAACAAGAGGCUGCUUCCCUGCCCACACAGGACACGCAUGCUUAACCCUGAGUUUUCUGCUGUCUGUUGGCACGAGAUGUCUUUCUCACUUUAUCCCUCUGUCCAUGCAGGGGGUAGCCCUCGAGUCACCGAACGUCUGGAGAGCCACCCCAGUUGGCAGCUGGUGUCCCCCCUCUGCAGAGAAGCCUUCGGUGGGUACAAUGCUGGUGCUGCCACAUCGUCGUGCACCGUGCUGCAGGGCAGAGGGAGAGGAGAGGCGUCCACCUGUGCCACCGUGAGCAGGACACCAAGGUGCCUUGUUGUGGAGAGUGCCCUGCAAGGCAGGGGCUGGAAAAGGAGGAGGGAAAGCUCUUCCAACCCAUGAAGCUUGCAGACAGGAUAAAGGCUGUUGUACGAUGCUUUAAACCCAAAUUGCUUGAAGUCCAAUCUUGAUGGGACCUUAGAGGGCAAAUGGUAAGGUGCAGCCUCCAUCCCCAAGUAUGUGACAAUCCCAGCUGUACAAAAAGACACAGGCCAAGCAACGCUGGAAACAAACACGUAAAAACAAUCUCAUUCCAGCCUGCAGCUGACAAUCUCUGCAGCACAGCCUCUGCUGGAGUCGCCUGGUGCAGCCGCUGGAGCUGACGUCCUCUCUGAACAGCCCCAGCCCUCUUGCAUUCCCGAGCCCUCAGAUGACAGCACGUGGAUGUGCAGCCAGCCGUCAGCGGCACAUGCCAAGCGGGUUUACUACAAAAAUAGCAACACAAUGGGUCUUCCCAUUUUCCAGGGCGUCUUCCCCAGCCCUUACCCUUUUUGCUGCCUCCAGGGAAACGUACAGGCAUGUGAGGUGCUGUGCCCCAGCUGGACCUGAACUGGAGGCAUCACCAACUUCUGACAGCUUUACCAACUCCUGCAGUUUAGAACUAUGCAUUUAGGCAUUGCCUCAAUUUCUCCGUGACUGAUAACAAUUGGGCUAUUAUAUUUGGGCAGAUUGUUAAAAUUUGAUUUUCACCAGUGACCUUUAAUUUCAUGUACCAUGAACACACAAAUAAGCUAGCUAGUUUCUGUUUCUGGUUUUCAGACACGUACAUGUGAAUUGACAAUAGACCAAGGGAAGAUGAGAUUUUCUGGAUGGGGUGUCUCAUGAAAACAGAGUCAAAGACAACGAUGAUUCUAAGCAAAACUUUUGAAUCAUUUAUUCCAACUUUCUGAACUGGGCAAAACACCUUUCUCUGUAUUUACACUUGACUUUAAAUUAACUCUUGGAUGCUUGCAGUAACAGCAUCCCAGCAGUCAGUGAGACCUUGUGAAGCUGCAUCCCUUCACUUAGUAGCCUACAAUAAGAAGGCUACAAUAAAAAAAAAAAUAAAUCUGUACUUUUUUUUGGGGGGGGUGUUUUUUGUUUGUUUAUUUUGUUCUCUUUUUCCUGACAGAUUCUAAUCUAUAUGAAGUCUGACAGUGUCCUUUCUUCUAAACAAUAAUAUAUUUCAUUGUAUAUAUUGUACUUUCGUAUGCAUAUCCCAUGUAAUAAAAAUAAAGAAACAAUAUGCAUCUUGUCCCUGGAAGGGGCAAAGUCUCUAUAGAAUAAUAUUACUGCUGUAGGUUGUUUAAGGGGCCUCUGUUCUGGUGGUAUCCAGCAAAAUAAUUCCUGCUUCUGUGCCUUCUUUUCAGGUUUGUCUUCCCUUUAGAGUAAACCAGGCCAAAUCCUGUAGGACCGUGAGGAAACUCCUUGAGAGUAAGACUGCAAUAUGCACGUGUGCCAAAUUGCUUUCAGAUUCACAGUCAUUUCCUGAGGAGACCUAAACAGAACCGAGGUGCUGCGUGUCUGAAGUUCUCCCUGCUGUAUUUUAUCCAUUAUUUCAGACACUGUUGAGAAGAAUAUAUACUGUGUAACAGAGCAUAGAGAAGUUGUGACAAACCACGCAGUCGGAAUAUUAAGGAUUCAUCCUUCCUCCUGCACAAGGUAUUCAAAGAGCAAACAUUUUCUCUUUUGCAGCUGUGGAGGAAAUCAGCAUUUCAGUGAGUAGCACAGGCACAUUUUGAGUGGUAGGGAAAAUACAAAAUAUAUUUGAAAACACUUGUGUGAUGACAACUGCCAUGGUGGAACAGACCCAAAGGGGCAGAUUUGCCUUGCGCUCGCUGCUGUGGUGUUUGUCUUGCUGAGUGUCUGAUCAGCCAAGCCAAACUUCCCCGACUUGAAGGAGGGCUCUUUGGGUCAUGUAUUGAUGUAUUUAUCAGGGCAAACUCUGUUUGGCCUCAACUGGAAUUUUUUAAUAAUGUCUUUCUUAACAGUGUCUUGCUUUUGCAUCUCUGUUUUUACAGUCUUCUGCAUUUUGUCCUGCUUUGCCUUUAGCCUUUAUGCUGAAAAAUGUUAGAACAGUAGUUAUCAUCCACUAAAUGCACGUCAUCUGUUCUUUCUUGUUAAGAAGAAAACUUGCUGCUUUAGUAAUAUCUGUGGCUCUGUUUGGAAAAAUCUUUUAUCAAAGAGACAACAUUUUCACUUAUGGUAGCAUAAUUUUCUUUUUUGGCUCAUUUAUUUUAUCCCUUUCUCUACCUUUAAAUUGCUGUAAAAAUUGACAGACCACUGAGCUGCCAGAGCUACGCAACCCUGGAAAAGGCAAGUGCAGCUUUUGGCUCGUGCCAUUUCAAAGGCACUGGGGAGAAGCAACGUGGAAUACUAUGUGCAAUUCUGAUCAUAGCAUUCCUGACAAGAUGUCACCAGUGCCUUUUACAAUGGCAUGAAACUUCCCUGUUCCUAUUAAAAAUACCUCAGCUGAUAGGGCCAAGAACUAGAUGUGCCUUUUCAAAAAUGGGCUGAAACUGGAAAAGGUGCUGAGAUUGCAUGGCUGUGUGACCAAGGGAAAGGAAACGUGAAAAUAUGCCAAGCGAUUUGAGAACUCAGUUUCAUGUAAUUAGAAAAAUCAGUGAUGAGAGAGGUUAUGUUAGCUGUCUAUAAAUGCAAAACAUUUUGAAAACUGGGGACUAUAGGAUUUUGUCUUAGCUGAUUAUCUUUAACAGAGCAGAAGGGGGCCAUCUGAUCCAUAUCAGUUCUGAUGAAACAGCCUCGUCUAACUCAAGUUCAACAGGUAUGGUUGUGCUUUGUUUUCAGUAAGGCACCCUGACAGCCCAUGUAGUAAGGCUGUCACUCGGCAAGCUUCCUGCUGGUGGUGUGUCAUGGCAGGCUGCAGAAGGUAAGUAGUCGCGUAUUAGUGACAUGCUGGCAUUGACCAAAUUCAUCCUUGCACAUGAACACUCAAGGGAGAAAGGAGGACGGUUUGGCUAUAGGCAGACUUUUUGCAUAACCUGUGUUUUUUGCUUGGCCUGGGAAAUUCUCUCCUCUAACUUAUGAUUUGAGGUCAUCUUUUCGAUUUAGCAUUAUUAAAAAUGUUUGCUCUUUAAAAUACCUCUCAUCUUUCACAUUAGUAGCCUUUACUCAUGAAUGACAUAAGGAGGACUGUUUUAAGAAACGGGCCUAAGAAUGGCCAAGACAAGGGAAAUUGGAGCAAAGCAGAAGUAUGUAAGGUAGCAUUUGACAUAAACCUGCCUGCCUUGUUUCCAGAUGUGGAGGUGUCUGUUCAUCUCACGGGGCAGUUUUAUUAUCCCCAGCAUAGCUACUGAUGAUUGUCCUGAAGAAAGAUAAUUUGUCAUGAUCUGUCCUGCCCAAAUACCUACAACCCAUUUCUGGGUUUAGUGAGAAAUCUUCCUUACCAGUUCCAGUCAACCUUCAAGCAUGUCUCUGCAGAAGGACAUAAAACCCAGCAGGACUCCCUUAUCACAUGGCAUUAAGUGACGUGAUGCUGUCAUUUUCGAUACGUGUGACUUCUUGCCUCCAACCCCCAUGCUGAGAUCUUGUGUUCCUUUUUUCCCCAGGGUCAUGUCUUACACAGAGUCCCCACUGUGGCUUUGCUCUGCUGGGUCAAGGGAAACAUGAGAUGACAAUUUUUGCCCUUUCCUAUCAAUGGUUAAAUUGGUAGAAGGAAGAAAAAGAGGUCUGCAUGGAUUUUAUCUUCAAGUUUGAUUUUAUAAAGUCAGGGGAAAAGUAAUGACGGACCCACUCCCAGGCUUUUGACCUCCUGCACGUGUAAGAGAGGGGAUGCAGGAUGGCAUCUAACAGCUUUCUAGCUGUCCCAGCUUGUAACUAUUUUCUUCUGAAUAGUAAACAUGCAAUUCAAACCCUUGCAAAAGCUUCUUGUGUUUUUGCAGUGGCCGCACUGCAAAUAUUACGUGCACAUAGAAGAUCAGGCAUCCAUGUAGGCUGUUGUUUUCCGCAACUUUUUGUAAGCUUGGGGAAAACUUAUUAAGUACUGUUUUUCUUUCUUUCUUUAAAAAAGACAGGGAGAGAAAGCCUGCAUUUUCUGCCAUUUCCCAAGAGGCUUUUUAUCUGUUUAAACCAACUAGGGAUUUUUCACGUAUUGACAUAAGCAUUCAUUUGCUAAUUUGCUGGACAUUAAACUGCACAGCAUUCGUGAAUGAGGCUGGAAUACUUGGGUACUUAGUGCUGCUCAGAGCCCGCAUCAUUCCCAGUACACAUAUGGUUUUUCCUCCUCUAUCUCCUAGAUAAAAGUCACUGUUUGAUCGCCUUAAGGAAAAGAAUGAGUUAAAUGGACCAAUAUUCUAGCCUUGGCUCUAAAACUGGGCCUUUUCAGAAACUCCUCAGCACCUGCAGCAGCUAGGUCAUUUGCACAUACAUAAAUAAAUAAAUUAACAAUGAAUAAAUAAUUUAAUCCCGCCACACAAUGCCACCUUGCAGAUCUGAUCCUUUGCUCCCAGUGAAUUUGUCCAUUCCUAAUUCUUUUUGAUAAAGUCCUCAGAUACUUGCUGACUGUCAGUCUAAUUUUCUUAUUGUUUUCGCUUGAUUAGUUCUGUAUGACCUAAGGUCGCCCUUAAAAUCCACAUCUCUCGUGAAGACUCCGAAAGGCCUUCUUUUUUUCAAAGGGAUGGAAAGUGCCUGCCAUUUCUCCGGACAAAAGCCUGGAAGGUUUUCAGUUAUUAGCCUUCUGAAGCAGCCCCUUCGCUCACCCAAGCGCAAAAAAAACUCAUUAGGGGGCACCUUUCUUUCUGCCUUCUUUAUCUGGCGCAUGUAGGGUUUACGUAUUUCAAGAUUUUUCAGGUCUCGGCUGAAUUUGGACAGCCUCCCUUUUAACCCUGCCGGACUGUGCUGAUGCCCUCUGCAGACGCUGGCUGCAUCUCCGUGCACUUAACCACCUGGAGAGACGUCGACUUUUUUAGAAGCUGUUUUACACCCACUUCACGACGAGGAGCACACACUACAGCGUGUGGUAAUUCGCAGCCGUGCUCUGGCAGAGGGUGGAUGGAAAGGCAGGCAAGGCUGCCAGCUGCCGAUGGGCUCCACGUUCUGCACUUGGCGAUUAAAAUACAAAAAUCAAAGUUCGUGCCUCAGCCACACCACCCCCGAUUACCAUCGGGGGGGUUUGCAGGACUAAGGCAGCACAGCACCGUGAGCCUGCCGGGGCUGGGCUGGAUUACACCCCGUCAGGAUCAGUCUUGUUCAGGCAGCAAGGUAAAUACUGCUCCCAUGUAGGCUGAAUCACCUUCCUGAGCUGUGGCAGGUGGCACACCUCAGCUAUCUAGGCAUCUCGCCCUUCAGGAGGAACGGGCCAAGUUUCAGUUCUCUGGGGCUGACAGAGGUUAUGGGGCAGCAUCCCAUCCUCUCUGUUUGCACACCAUACAGCAAUGCCAUACCUGCGGUUUCCUUUUAAGAAGAAAACCAGCCUGAAAGUGUGCUGGCAGGUAUUACGGUGAUGUUUCUCAUUCAGUGAGGCUCUGAUAUGUUUGUUAAGGAGAUAACAGAGAUAACAGUCCACAAAAGACAAUUAUAGUAAGAGAGAGGAUCGAACGAUAGUGUUUUCUCUCUCAGAAAAGGGCUGAUUAGUUUCUUUGAUGAGAGACCUCUGUUUUGUGUGGGACCUGAGCCUAAAGAGAGCACAGAAGCAGGAGGAAAAUAAGUGGGACCAGGAAGACACAGGUGGAAGAUAUCCUGGGCAGGCAUAGAAAAAGAUGCCUUGCUUCUGCAAUACUGUUUCUCCUUGUCCUGAAGAGCAGCUCAUCAUCCCUCUGGGUUAAAAUCUGGUAGGAAAGCUCAGGGCUGCAGCUGAGGUCCUGCUUCCAGGCAUGCAGAUGGCAGUUUUGUGGCAACUCAUCUUGGUCCUGCCUAUUUUCACAUCCAAGGAAAAUUGUCUGUGUUAGGCUGGAAGAACUCACCAAUGUGACCACUAUUUUAUUUUUCCUAACUGGCCAAUUCCUCUGAAAUCCCCAUGAUACUAACACUUUACUUCCACCUGUUUUCUACCAGUUCCUCUGAAAUCUGAGUGAAAUCAGCCCUCGGUAAAAUAAAGGCUGAAUUUAAAGUAAGGCUGAAGUUGUGUGCAGAUCCUUGCAGGUUCAGUACUACCCACUGCACUUCUCUCUGCUGGCAUAAUUUUGAGCAGCUGUCAGCUUGAGUAUAGCGUAACAUAAAGUGGAAGCUGUGACCUGCUCCACAGAACAAGGUAGCAGUUGCAUUAUGAUCUGAAGGACAGCAGAAAUAAGACGAAAAAUCACGAGGAGGAAUUGUGUCAGUGUGAUAACAGGAAAAGUCUUGUUUAUACCUUUUCACAUCCAUGUCCUUUCCACCCAAGCUAUUCAGGGGUACUAAAAGCUUGCUGAAUAAACACUGCCUAUUACUUAAAUAAGGAGCUUGAAGAUUUAGAAGAAAUUAACUCCUGGUGUGUGAGGAGAGGAGAAAGGAUUGAUUUCCAUUGAAAGCAAAGGCAGAUUUCUCCCUAGUAUGCAGAUACUUUGAAAUACGGAUUUUCUGAUUUUCUGUGUAAGCAUUUCAUACACAGAAUUCCUGAAGCCCUUUGUUUCGUGUUGGAAAAGGUGGAACAAUGGGAGUAAUGCAGCUGUUAUACAAGUAAAUCUAACCAGUGCUGUGGAGGACCUCAGCUUCUGAGCUUGAUAUUUUGACGACCAGACUAUGGAGAAAGGUACUCUGCCUUUCAGGGAGUGGCUAGUGGCUUUGUUUGAAAUCACGCUUGCUGGAGGGAAAUAGUAAAGAGCCCUGCUUCCACCUGAAAUCCUUCCCACCUUCCCCACCUGCUCUAGCAGGGCAUGCAACAGGUACAUUAAAAAUAUCUGUGAGCUGGGAUAACAAGCCACUGGGAUACCCUUAAACACACAUCAGCUGUUUCAGUUCAGUGACAGACUUACUGCAUCUUCAGUCUGUAUAACAGACACACAAGAAAAGUUAUGGUGACUGUAAGUUCAAGGGCCUUUGAGAAGCUGGAUGCUGGCAGCAGGGGUUACCUCUCUUUUCCAGAAUUCCAGUCCAUCCCAAAUCUCUGUAACUUCCUGCUAGAAGAGGAGGAAAAUCACCACAUUAUCCCUAAAUUUGAUCUACUCUUUGCUUGCCAUAUUCAAUACUAUAUGUUGCUUUGCAUAGGGGUAGCAGAAGCUCUUCGCUUAAAGCAAAGCUGAAUAUAACACAGUUCCUAACUGUAACGUACACUGUGUGGCUAAGAAGACUAAUUCUCUGAAGAGGAGAGGCAAAGGUGCAGCGUGGAGAGUUGCAAAUAAAUAGUUUCUGAGAAGGUGAGCUCUUCAGUGAAGAGCAGCAGGCUGUUCUGCUGCUGCUUUGGAGCCUCCUCACAAUGGAAAGGGGCACCUCUGGCCUCGCAGAGGUAGUUUAGAUCCUGCAUAUGCAUGUAGAUGGAAGCUGGCCUUUCAUUUAAGUAUAGAUUAUUGUGCCUAGGUGUUUUUUAUUAUUAUUAUUAUUAUUAUUAUUUUUCUUCUUCUUGGAGGAACAGUGUAUACACUGAGAACAACAGGCAGUGCAGCCUGUUCAGUACACGACUUCACUUUCAUGCUCAGAGUAUCUCUCUGUUUAGGACCAGGGUAGGCUACUUGUUCUCCAUACAUCUCUGCAAACAUGCCUGCACAGCUGAGUUAAUAAAAUGAGCAUGAGGAGCCACUGGAAUAUAUAUCACUUACCUGCUUGGUAAGACUACUGCUGAUGCAACUCGAUCGUGUCUCCUCCUCGUGUAAGGAACUCUGGCUUCAGGGAUCUCCAGGAAGCUUUGCCUUCUGGCAAUAGCUAAGGAUUUGGUCUGCCAUAUAUACAAAUCACAGUCCUGAAAACCCAGCAGUGGAUUUUAUAGGAAAGGUGAAUUAUUGCCAUCCUGCCUCCUUUGACAGUAAAACUCUGCGCCCUGACUUUCACUUGCAGCUGAAGUGGCAUCGCCUGUUGCAGUCAGAAAUGUUGUACAGGACUCCCUGGAUGAAGAAGCCUUUUUUUUUCUUUUUUUUUUUCUUCUUCUAUUACAUAAUCACUUCAUAGAAGACUCCACUUCUGACAUAUUGUAUUCUUACAGUCAUAAAAACUAAAUUGCCUUUAUUUUUUGUAGCUCAACUGCAAAAGUUUAGAGCUCUUGUUAGCAAAAGUAUUUAUUUCAGCCUAAUUAACUGUGUAAUUGCUGCUGAAAUGCAGUGCACAUCUCAAUUGCUGCAGCUUGCAGAUGAAUGUUAAGCAAUGUUUCAUAAAUUCAACCCCAUUUGAUAUUCUGAGUUGGAAUCUUCUAAAUGAGUCCUCUUUCCUUGGGUUGGACAUUCAUGGCAUUGCUCUCUCUCACCUUUUAAAAUUAAUUCUGUUUUAACAUGCCACUCUGGGUGCAGCAUGGCAUGUGGGUAGCUAUCAGAGCUUUAACCUAUAAAUGUGGUUUUUAUACAUCUUGCCACAAUUAUGUUUUCCUAGUGUCCUUUCCCCAGGCCAGCCUUUGUUCCCGAGCCCUUUACACAGCCUGUUGGCAGGUUUGCUAGAAAUAAAUCUGAUGAUGUGAGGGGAUGGACACAGGAGUUUGGUCGAAGCUUAUAGACCUGUUCCUGAUGUUGGAGUAGUAAGCGUGACACACGAAUGCUUCUUGCCAGUGGUCUCCUGUUGCCUGUUUGGAAUGCAAAUUUUUUGGGGUAGAGAGUUUGGGCACAGGCUUUGAUCUAUUUGAUGGUGUUUUACUUCCACGCUAGCUCAAACAAACAAACCCUUAUGAUAAAUUAGUGAGCUUUUAACACAGAUUUCCAGAAAAAGGGGAAAAAGCCUACUGAGGUGUGACUGCUGUGCAUGUUUUCAGGGGUGACAGACCUGUGGUAUAGAGAGGACUUGGAGGUGUGUGACAGUGGGAUUUUGGGUAAGGGGCAGAGGAGGCAAUGGGGACACGAGAGGCAUGGGGAAGGCAGGCAAGGCAAAACGAGGCAGAAGGGACACGAAGGCCUAAGAAGCAGAAAGAUGCCAGCAGAAGGAAAGGGACAAGAAAUGACAGCAAGGGAUUCACCAGCAGCAUUUUUAUCCAGGCAGGUGCGUAACAGAGAAGCUUGUAUUUUGGGGCAGUUUGUUUUGGGGCACAAAGCUCCACCAGCAAGCGGUGGUGCUGGCAGCGCUACCAGCCCAGGUGUGGCACUGCAUCCAGCUCCCCAGCAAUCCCGCCAAAAUAGCUAUGACCUCCUGGCAUGGAAACACUAAAAAUUAUUAGAAUUUAAAAAAAAAAGGCCACUACCAAAGCACCGCACAGUGCCAUGGGGCAGCGGCCAGGCAGGGCAGGCCCAGUGGAGACUUGGGGCAAGGAGUGUCCAUCUGGGGGAGCUCCGUGCCCUGCUGCAGAGUCCAAAUACCUGUGGGGCAAAAGCCAGGGGCUGCGGGGCCCGGGGGCAAGCUCAGGGCCCGGUGGAGGCCCAUAGGCGGCGGGGGAGGCAGCAGGCGUGUGGGGGACUUUUAUCCCAAAGUCAUUGUCAAGCCAGAGCAGGGUUUAUCCUCCACAGCUAAAUGAAAACGAAAAGGACAAAAAAAAAAAUCCAGAAUAGCAACAUUUGAGAUACAAAGACUGUCAUGGACCAGUGCAAGUUUGCAGAAUUAUAUGUAAAUGACCGCAGUUUUGACUGUGGUGGCCCUCUGCUAAUCCCAGAGAGAAAAUCUACUUAGCAAAGGGAAGUUUUGUCUAAUUUGGUUAACAG